AUUGAACGCUGGCGGCAGGCCUAACACAUGCAAGUCGAGCGGAUGAAGGGAGCUUGCUCCUGGAUUCAGCGGCGGACGGGUGAGUAAUGCCUAGGAAUCUGCCUGGUAGUGGGGGAUAACGUCCGGAAACGGGCGCUGAUACCGCAUACGUCCUGAGGGAGAAAGUGGGGGAUCUUCGGACCUCACGCUAUCAGAUGAGCCUAGGUCGGAUUAGCUAGUUGGUGGGGUAAAGGCCUACCAAGGCGACGAUCCGUAACUGGUCUGAGAGGAUGAUCAGUCACACUGGAACUGAGACACGGUCCAGACUCCUACGGGAGGCAGCAGUGGGGAAUAUUGGACGAUGGGCGAAAGCCUGAUCCAGCCAUGCCGCGUGUGUGAAGAAGGUCUUCGGAUUGUAAAGCACUUUAAGUUGGGAGGAAGGGCAGUAAGUUAAUACCUUGCUGUUUUGACGUUACCAACAGAAUAAGCACCGGCUAACUUCGUG
rnacentral:rRNA from 1 species